rnacentral:rRNA from 1 species
UACGGAGGAUGCGAGCGUUAUCCGGAUUUAUUGGGUUUAAAGGGUGCGUAGGCUGUGAGGUAAGUCAGCGGUGAAAUGCCCCCGCUCAACGGGGUGAAGUGCCAUUGAUACUGCCUUGCUGGAAUGCGGAUGCCGUGGGAGGAAUGUGUGGUGUAGCGGUGAAAUGCAUAGAUAUCACACAGAACACCGAUUGCGAAGGCAUCUCACGAAUCCGCGAUUGACGCUGAUGCACGGAAGCGUGGGUAUCAAACAGG